CUGCAACUUUCGUCCGCUUGGUGUCUUUAUACGGUGGCCAAAAAGACACCUUGCCAUCCAAACUUAGCCACGAGCAAGGCACAACCUCCACCUCGUUUGACUCGGUUCCCAACCACAGCUGUCCCCAGUGCAGUUGAAUCAACGGGGUGGUUGAAAAAUGGACGUUGGUCUAAAUAUUGCCUCGCCACAAAAGACGUACCACCAAGUGUCCUGCUAAUUGCCUCUAUUUUAAAAGUGGCACCACCACACAAAACUGUGUUGUUCCCAUCCUUUGUGGACAGGGUAAAUCUAUCAGUGGCGUACUGUGUUGUUGAGGGUGAACUUUGGUUAUGGGAAGAUGGACAGACUGGGUUGACGCUUGAUUUUUCCGUUAAUCGUUUAACAAUUUGUUGUAAUGUCUGGUUUGGCUUUCUAAUUAGUUUCUUUAAUUUAUACAAGACAUUUUCGAAGGGAAAGGCUGAAAUUUGGGGUAGUGGGCCAUAUUAUCUAACAUCACUUGCCAGGUGGAUCAAGCUGUGGACGUUAUACACCAGAAAGUCCCCAUAGAUGGCGUGAAAAUUCUGAACGAACACUACCAGGAGAUUUUCCGCAUAGCCACAAUAACGGUGGUGGAGACGGGGGGAACAUAAAAUUGUAAUUGCUACGUGGAGUAAAAGAAAAUGUUGAUACAUGUGUUUUGGUAGGUUUUUUUUUAAUGCAAUGGGGCCAGUGUAUAGUAAAAAAGUCCUAAAUUCAGUGGCCUUCCACCGAUCAACCUCACGGAGGGACCUUCCCUUGCGUCCAAACUCCUUUGGCAGCCUCUUGCCCAAUUUGAUUAAGUUCUCCGAAAUAAUGCAGAUGGAUUAACUCCCAAUGCGGGUUGGAAGGGGCCCUCUCUGCCACAGCCAGAUCAACUUUCUCAUCACUCCUAGGCAACCAGGUGCAUAAAGUCCAACACAAAUUGGGUCACCAAGCCUACAUCUAGGUGUUGUAAUGGACUGUCGCCCUCUUUGUGAUGUUCCUGGUUGACUUUUGUGGCAAAACUGUCAUCGGUUCUGAGAACCGCAUCUGUUUCAGAGUAAUUUAGGCGUUGGUUCGCCCAUGAGCCCUCUUGCAUGCACCUUUCGCAGCCGUAAUAGGAAUUGUGUGCUUUUAUGUUUUUUAGAAAUGCCCUUGCCGGUGCAUCACAGACAAAACAGGAAAUUUCGAUUUUAAUUUUUUUUGACUGAUACUCCAAGCCAUCAGAUGCAAGCUUCCCCAUCUCUGCCACAAAGUCGGAGAGGUACUCGCUUGCAUCGGUUGGCUUGGAGUAUCCACAAUAUAAACCAAUUAGAAAUGGGGAUCUAAUGGGGUCCUCUUCAAUUAGUGCAAGAAUUGGCCAAAAUUGCUGGCUGCUGCUUUUAAAAAGGGGCAGGACAUCCACAUUUAUUUGUAGUUUUAGUGUUUGGUUUUUAGCUAAGUCCUGUUCUUGCAUUCGGCCCAAGAUCCCUUUUGCCACACCAAAAUAGUGCAUGUUCCCCCCAGCUUUUGGUACUAUCUCCGCAUAAGUAGGGGUUGACAGGAGAGUGCGGCCGUCUUUUGGCAGUUUGGAAUCUGGGAAGUGCUUGCGAAGCACGGAGAGCAGGCUGGAAAUGUGGGAAAUUGGUGUAUUUGUUGUGAUUGCCCAUUCCUUGAGCUCAUGUCUUAAGUCCCUUUGAAAACUGCCCCCCUCCUCUGAAUCUGAGCCACUGCUAGAGCUCGACAAAUCAUUGAACUCCCAGUCAUCCUCGCCAGAGGAGGCGCUCUCCUCUGAUGCCAUUACCCAAUCCCCACCUCCGCUUUCAAUUGCGUCGUCGUUGUCUAUUUCGGUGUAAGCUGGGACACUUGGUGGUGUAUCUAAUGUGUCUGCGCCAGCGGCCAGGUUAAAGUGAGUGGGCCCGCUAGCAUGAAGCGCUGCCAACGCAGCAUCCGUUCCUCUUUUACAUGCCUUCGCAGCGACCUCUUUGAUAAAAUUAUUUUACUCUCUGCCAUUUUUUGUAAUUUUGCUGUCGUAAGAGGUAGGCUAUAAUUGAAUUAUUUUGUAGCGGCUAGACGGUAACCCGGCUGGCGGCUAGCUAGCUGG
rnacentral:lncRNA from 1 species